rnacentral:rRNA from 1 species
AACGUAGGAGACAAACGUUAUCCGGAGUUACUGGGCGUAAAGGGCGUGUAGGUGGUUUCGUAAGUCUGGCGUGAAAUAUCUCGGCUUAACCGAGGCAGGUCGUCGGAUACUGCGGAACUGGAGGACGGUAGAGGCGUGUGGAAUUCCGGGUGUAGUGGUGAAAUGCGUAGAGAUCCGGGGGAACACCAGUGGCGAAGGCGACACGCUGGGCCGUACCUGACACUGAUGCGCGACAGCACGGGGAGCAAACAGG